rnacentral:rRNA from 1 species
ACCCCUUGAAGACGACGAGGUAGAUAGGACAGAGGUGGAAGUGUGGUAACACAUGGAGCUGACUGUUACUAAUAGGUCGAGGGCAUAACCAAG